UGAUGACCUCCGAAGAGAGGCUGGAGGGGAGCAGAGGCUCAGCCUGGUCCAGGAUUUGGGACACCAGGGUUCGAAACACUGUUUGGAAGGAGAAACACAAAGAGGCUUUGAAGUGCCAUGAGCACUCAUUCGUUCACCUGUCUUUUAUACACUUCGCCGAGCCCAC